CUGGCCACUUUAGUUAGAAUAGAGCCCUGUUGGAGCCUCCUCCGGUUACAGCAACAUAUUAAACUCCAGGCUGCAGCCACACGGCACGCGGGCAGACAGGAAGCAAGGCUCGAGGCAGCCUGACAGCUGGACGCUUCAUUUCCUCGCGAGCUCUCUGCCACCGGAGCGUACUUCAAAGCGACGGACUCUCAUUCCGUUAGUUCUUAUUCGUUCCGUGAACUCUCUUCUACACGGCUGGUUCGCUGCCCCCCCGGAUCAAACUGAUGUUCCGCUAAUCCGCUCCGCAGCUGGAUAAGGUGUACAAGAUUAAUAGAUAAACUACUGACUGUCGCUAUUAUUGAGGCACCUGCCUGAAUCUUCUUGUGGAAGCUUUUCAUUCCACAAUGAGCGGAAGGUGACCUGCAAGCAUCCUGUCUCGGGCUGUCCCUCACAAGACAACUGCAUCUUUGUCGUCAACGAACAGUCUGCCCCAAAGCGCCAGCGAAUGAGAAGGAGCGUCCUCUGAGCACCAUGAGUAGCGAGGCCUCCAACUACACAGGCAGCUCGGACUAUGCUAACACACCAAAGUAGCCCGCA